GGUGGCUCAGCGGUAGAGCACUUGCCUAGCAUGCACGAGGCCCUGGGUUUGAUCCCCAGCACCA
rnacentral:tRNA from 1 species